rnacentral:sRNA from 12 species
UAGAACGAGACCAAGUAAGCCCAUCCGGGUCGAAAGCCGUGUCAAGUGGAAUGGAAGGAGCGGUUAUCCUUCGGCCAUGUGCCGUAAAUAAGAUCCGGGACGAGAGCGGGCGGACGCUUCUUGCAUGGUACGAGGUCGCGCGAAAUCCUCGUAUUUCAUGCCCGUAUCCUACGUGGCUACAGUAACGCGCCAAGUCAUGCCCGGUGACCAAAAUUAUCGACUACAGA